rnacentral:rRNA from 1 species
CUUGCUCUCGGGUGACGAGUGGCGGACGGGUGAGUAAUGUCUGGGAAACUGCCUGAUGGAGGGGGAUAACUACUGGAAACGGUAGCUAAUACCGCAUAACGUCGCAAGACCAAAGAGGGGGACCUUCGGGCCUCUUGCCAUCAGAUGUGCCCAGAUGGGAUUAGCUAGUAGGCGGGGUAACGGCCCACCUAGGCGACGAUCCCUAGCUGGUCUGAGAGGAUGACCAGCCACACUGGAACUGAGACACGGUCCAGACUCCUACGGGAGGCAGCAGUGGGGAAUAUUGCACAAUGGGCGCAAGCCUGAUGCAGCCAUGCCGCGUGUGUGAAGAAGGCCUUCGGGUUGUAAAGCACUUUCAGCGGGGAGGAAGGCGGUACGGUUAAUAACCGUGCUGAUUGACGUUACCCGCAGAAGAAGCACCGGCUAACUCCGUGCCAGCAGCCGCGGUAAUACGGAGGGUGCAAGCGUUAAUCGGAAUUACUGGGCGUAAAGCGCACGCAGGCGGUCUGUCAAGUCGGAUGUGAAAUCCCCGGGCUCAACCUGGGAACUGCAUUCGAAACUGGCAGGCUGGAGUCUCGUAGAGGGAGGUAGAAUUCCAGGUGUAGCGGUGAAAUGCGUAGAGAUCUGGAGGAAUACCGGU